rnacentral:rRNA from 1 species
ACUACGGCUGCAUGAAGCUGGAAUCGCUAGUAAUCGCGGAUCAGAAUGCCGCGGUGAAUACGUUCCCGGGCCUUGUACACACCGCCCGUCACACCAUGAGAGUUGGGAAUACCCGAAGCCUGUGAGCUAACUUAUAGAGGCAGCAGUCGAAGGUAGAAUCAAUGAUUGGGGUGAAGUCGUAACAAGGUAAC